rnacentral:lncRNA from 1 species
UCUAGUACUUGGUAGCUAAAGUAAUAAUCCAGUUGGGCUAUAUUACUCUGGGUAUUAAGAAACAAUAGCUAAUAAGAAGUAGUUUCAGCCAGGCGCCAGUGGCUCAUGCCUGUAAUCCCAGCACUUUGGGAGGCCGAGGCGGGCAGAUCGCCUGAGGUCAGGAGUUUGAGACCAGCCUGGCCGGCAUGGUGAAACCCUGUCUCUACUAAAAAGACAAGAAUUAGCUGGGCAUGGUGGUGCGUGCCU